UACGUAGGGGGCAAGCGUUGUCCGGAAUCAUUGGGCGUAAAGAGCGUGUAGGCGGCCCGGUAAGUCCGCUGUGAAAGUCCAGGGCUCAACCCUGGGAUGCCGGUGGAUACUGUCGGGCUAGAGUCCGGAAGGGGCGAGUGGAAUUCCUGGUGUAGCGGUGAAAUGCGCAGAUAUCAGGAGGAACACCAAUGGCGAAGGCAGCUCUCUGGGACGGUACUGACACUGAGACGCGAAAGCGUGGGGAGCGAACAGG
rnacentral:rRNA from 1 species